GGACAUGUCUGUGAGCCACUCCCUCAUAGC
rnacentral:piRNA from 1 species